rnacentral:rRNA from 1 species
UACGGGGGGAGCAAACGUUGUUCGGAAUCACUGGGCGUAAAGGGCGCGUAGGCGGCCAGAUAAGUGGGGUGUUAAAUCUCCCGGCUCAACCGGGAACCUGCACCUCAUACUGCCUGGCUUGAGUACAGCAGAGGAGACUGGAAUUCCCGGUGUAGCGGUGAAAUGCGCAGAUAUCAGGAGGAACACCGGUGGCGAAGGCGGGUCUCUGGGCCGAUACUGACGCUGAGGAGCGAAAGCGUGGGGAGCGAACAGG